ensembl:lncRNA
CACAUUCUCCCUGCAGCAGAGAUGCCACCCAUACAAGCCUGAUCCUCCAAUCAGUCAGGAAAAUCUAUUUUCAGUAAGUCCUUCAGGAGUUGUGGUAUAGCACUCUGCAUCUCCUGGAAGGAGCACCUGUCCUGUGCUGGACCUGCCAAGGGUUGUCUGGGCCUGCCAUGGGAACAAUGGAAUGCAAAGUGUGGAGGACAAAAGAGGAGAGGACUCAGCUUGAACAUGUGAAGACCAGAAGAUGUGUUUAUAAUAGAUUAAGACUUCUCAGAAGACUACAUUCUUCACUCUUUGCCACUGCUUACAGUCCCAGUAAAGUCUCAUGCUGUAUGAAUCCAUCCAUACAAACUGGAUUUAUGGCACGGAUUUCAGAGAGCCGAUGAACAUAGGAUGAUAAUCUCAGGCCAUAAUGGUGACAUCGUCUACUCUUAAAACAUGAGAAAAAUAAUGAAAAGAUAUUCUUUCUUUAAUGAAAAUCCUACAGUCAUAAGGUUCCAACAUUAUUAUAAUAAUCUAAUGUAUU